rnacentral:rRNA from 1 species
GAGUUUGAUCGUGGCUCAGAACGAACGCUGGCGGCAUGCCUAACACAUGCAAGUCGAACGAACUCUUCGGAGUUAGUGGCGCACGGGUGCGUAACGCGUGGGAAUCUGCCCUUGGGUACGGAAUAACUCAGAGAAAUUUGUGCUAAUACCGUAUAAUGACUUCGGUCCAAAGAUUUAUCGCCCAAGGAUGAGCCCGCGUAAGAUUAGCUAGUUGGUGGGUAAAGGCCUACCAAGGCUACGAUCUUUAGCUGGUCUGAGAGGAUGAUCAGCCACACUGGGACUGAGACACGGCCUAGACUCCUACGGGAGGCAGCAGUGGGGGAAUAUUGGACAAUGGGCGAAAGCCUGAUCCAGCAAUGCCGCGUGAGUGAUGAAGGCCUUAGGGUUGUAAAGCUCUUUUACCCGGGUAUGAUAAUGACAGUACCGGGAGAAUAAGCUCCGGCUAACUCCGUGCCAGCAGCCGCAGUAAC